rnacentral:rRNA from 1 species
UACGGAGGGAGCAAGCGUUACUCGGAAUUAUUGGGCGUAAAGGGCGCGUAGGCGGCAUGACAAGUCACUUGUGAAAUCUCUGGGCUUAACCCAGAACGGCCAAGUGAUACUGUCGCGCUAGAGUGCGGAAGGGGCAAUCGGAAUUCUCGGUGUAGCGGUGAAAUGCGCAGAUAUCAGGAGGAACACCGAUGGCGAAGGCAGUGUUCUGGGCCAGUACUGACGCUGGAGGAGCGAAAGCGUGGGGAGCAAACAGG